rnacentral:rRNA from 1 species
ACGCACGCUGGCGGCGUGCUUAACACAUGCAAGUCGAACGGAAAGGCCCUGCUUUUGUGGGGUGCUCGAGUGGCGAACGGGUGAGUAACACGUGAGUAACCUGCCCUUGACUUUGGGAUAACUUCAGGAAACUGGGGCUAAUACCGGAUAGGAGCUCCUGCUGCAUGGUGGGGGUUGGAAAGUUUCGGCGGUUGGGGAUGGACUCGCGGCUUAUCAGCUUGUUGGUGGGGUAGUGGCUUACCAGGGCUUUGACGGGUAGCCGGCCUGAGAGGGUGACCGGCCACAUUGGGACUGAGAUACGGCCCAGACUCCUACGGGAGGCAGCAGUGGGGAAUAUUGCACAAUGGGCGGAAGCCUGAUGUAGCAACGCCGCGUGCGGGAUGACGGCCUUCGGGUUGUAAACCGCUUUCGCCUGUGACGAAGCGUGAGUGACGGUAAUGGGUAAAGAAGCACCGGCUAACUACGUG